GAUGAACGCUGGCGGUCUGCUUAACACAUGCAAGUCGAACGCAACCUUCGGGUUGAGUGGCGGACGGGUGAGUAACGCGUGAGAAUCUGCCUUAGGGUCGGGGACAACCACUGGAAACGGUGGCUAAUACCGGAUACGCCUUCGGGUAAAAGAUUUAUUGCCCUAAGAGGAGCUCGCAUCUGAUUAGCUAGUUGGUGAGGUAAGAGCUCACCAAGGCAGCGAUCAGUAGCUGGUCUGAGAGGACGAUCAGCCACACUGGGACUGAGACACGGCCCAGACUCCUACGGGAGGCAGCAGUGGGGAAUUUUCCGCAAUGGGCGAAAGCCUGACGGAGCAAGACCGCGUGAGGGAGGAAGGCUCUUGGGUUGUAAACCUCUUUUCUCAGGGAAGAAGCUCUGACGGUACCUGAGGAAUCAGCCUCGGCUAACUCCGUGCCAGCAGCCGCAGUAAUACGGAGGAGGCAAGCGUUAUCCGGAAUUAUUGGGCGUAAAGCGUCCGCAGGUGGCGAUUCAAGUCUGCUGUCAAAGCACGGGGCUUAACUCCGUAAAGGCAGUGGAAACUGAAUAGCUAGAGUGCCGUAGGGGUAGAGGGAAUUCCCGGUGUAGCGGUGAAAUGCGUAGAGAUCGGGAAGAACAUCGGUGGCGAAAGAGCUCUACUGGACGGCAACUGACGCUCAGGGACGAAAGCUAGGGGAGCGAAUGGGAUUAGAUACCCCAGUAGUCCUAGCUGUAAACGAUGGAUACUAGGUGUAGCUUGUAUCGACCCGAGCUGUGCCGAAGCUAACGCGUUAAGUAUCCCGCCUGGGGGAGUACGCACGCAAGUGUGAAACUCAAAGGAAUUGACGGGGGCCCGCACAAGCGGUGGAGUAUGUGGUUUAAUUCGAUGCAACGCGAAGAACCUUACCAGGGCUUGACAUGUCCGGAACCCCGGUGAAAGCUGGGGGUG
rnacentral:rRNA from 1 species